rnacentral:rRNA from 1 species
AUUGAACGCUGGCGGCAUGCUUUACACAUGCAAGUCGAACGGUAACAGGUUAAGCUGACGAGUGGCGAACGGGUGAGUAAUGCAUCGGAACGUGCCCGGUCGUGGGGGAUAACACUUCGAAAGAAGUGCUAAUACCGCAUACGAUCUAAGGAUGAAAGCGGGGGACCGUAAGGCCUCGCGCGAUCGGAGCGGCCGAUGUCAGAUUAGGUAGUUGGUGGGGUAAAGGCCUACCAAGCCGACGAUCUGUAGCUGGUCUGAGAGGACGACCAGCCACACUGGGACUGAGACACGGCCCAGACUCCUACGGGAGGCAGCAGUGGGGAAUUUUGGACAAUGGGCGCAAGCCUGAUCCAGCAAUGCCGCGUGCAGGAAGAAGGCCUUCGGGUUGUAAACUGCUUUUGUACGGAGCGAAAAGGCUCUCUCUAAUACAGGGGGCUGAUGACGGUACCGUAAGAAUAAGCACCGGCUAACUACGUGCCAGCAGCCGCCGUAA